GCCGAUAUAGUUUAGGGGUAGAACCUCUGUGUGGUAUACAGGUAACACCAGUUCGAAUCUGGUUUUCGGCUCAA
rnacentral:tRNA from 1 species